CGCUGGGGGCUGGUUCCAGAAGUGAGCGAUUCUCCAUUGACCCCCAUGUUAAAAUAGCCAACUUUACAGCCUAAAAAAACAUAUUUACAGCCUGGUACAUUUUUUUUAUUUAAACUGGUGAGA